CCAUGUCGCCUCCUAGUGACAUCUCCAUUGCAUUCUGAUCCUUGUGGAAUAAACUCGAAUUGUGAACCCUCCAUGUGUGGCCUCUGCCAAUACAUCGCGGGGUCUCUUCCACCUUCGAUUUUUGUUCGCUCCUUUGGCAAUUGACCUUCAUCCACCCACUCUUGGGUCACACCUAGAUGAAGCACCGCUCUAGGACAGUCCGUCGCCUAGUAGCUCCCGAAGUCCACCGACUUCACUGUAAUUUAUGCACCAUUGUCUAGAUCCUGGGC
rnacentral:lncRNA from 1 species